AUCCGGCUGACGAGUCCCAAACAGAACGAAACGCGCGUCCUGGAU
rfam:Schistosoma mattheei strain Denwood, Zambia genome assembly, scaffold: SMTD_scaffold0013336